GGAGUCGGACCAGCCGUGGGGAAGAUGCCGUGGGGGUUUCCCUGCCUGGGACCCGAGGUGUGAAGGGCCCGUCGGGGCUGACCCCCAUGGCAGCUGGCUCCUUCGCUCAGCUGGAACUU
rnacentral:precursor_RNA from 10 species